CAACAACAUCCCCUCCUACUGGACGGAUCGUUACGGCUACUCGCAUGGAGGAUUUCAGGGGUCCUUGGGAAGUCCAAGGAGUUUCGGACACAACUCGACGCCUCCUGGCUGACGCAUGGGCUCCCGGCACUAGACGCUCAUACGGGACCGCUUGGAGAGCUUGGACUGGUUGGUGCCUGGCUAGGGACCUGGAUCCCGUGGCGGCUCCUGUGACGGCGAUACUCCAGUUCCUCACAUCAUUAUUUGAAGCGGGCCGAGCAUAUCGCACGAUUAACCUAUACAGAUCGGCCAUCUCCUCAGCUCAUCAGGGUUUCAACGGCUGCCCAGCGGGCCAACAUCCCUUGGUGUGCCGUUUACCUCACGCGUCCCCCCAGACCUCGAUACACAGCCACAUGGGACGUAUCCUGCGUCCUAUCACUGUUUUCCUCCUGGCCGACCAACUCGGACCUCACCCUGCAACAACUCUCUGCCAAGUUGGUAUCA